rnacentral:lncRNA from 13 species
GAUACCACAAGCAUCUGGAUAAUCUGACCAAACAGUGCUACUCGGCUGGGGGUGGAUUUUGCCCCUACAGGAGACAUUAGAUUAUAUCUGGGGACAUUUGGGGUUGUCGCAACUGGAGAGAAGUUACUGGCGUCCGGUGGCUGGAGGCCAGAGAUGCUGCUCAGGACAAGACGCAUAGCAGAGAAUGAUCCAGCCCCAAAUGUCAGGAGCACCAAAGUUGAGAAAGGCAGACGGAGACAUGCCUACAGAGAAGGAGAAGGCAGAGAGGAGAGAGAAUGACAGAAACAUAGACUGCGGUGAUGUGCUUUGAGAGCGAAGGGUGGGGCCAUAAGCCAAGGGCUUUGAGCAACCACUAGAAGCUGAAACAAGCAAGGAGACAGAUUCUCUCCUGGAGCCUCCAGAAGGAAGUGGUCUACCAACAUCCCAACUUCUCCCCUCUGAAACUGUAAGAGAAUAAAUGUGUGUUGUUUCCAGCCA